GCCGGGAUGGCGAAAUUGGCAGACGCACGGGACUUAAAAUCCCGGGUCCGAAAGGACGUGCCGGUUCAAGUCCGGCUCCCGGCA
rnacentral:tRNA from 1 species